rnacentral:rRNA from 1 species
CAGCCGUAAACAAUGUGCGUUAGGUGUGUCGGUAACCACGCGUUACUGAUGCGCCGAAGAGAAAUCGUGAAACGCACCACCUGGGAAGUACGGUCGCAAGGCUGAAACUUAAAGGGAAUUGGCGGGGGAGCACCACAACAGGUGGAGCCUGCGGUUUAAUUGGAUUCAACGCCGGACAUCUCACCAGGAGCGACGGUUACAUGAAGGCCAGGCUGAUGACCUUGCCUGAUUUUCCGAGAGGAGGUGCAUGGCGUAGUCGUGU